UAGGGAAUCUUCCGCAAUGGACGCAAGUCUGACGGAGCAACGCCGCGUGAGUGAAGAAGGAUUUCGGUUCGUAAAACUCUGUUGUUAGAGAAGAACAGCGCAUAGAGUAACUGUUAUGCGUGUGACGGUAUCUAACCAGAAAGCCACGGCUAACUACGUGCCAGCAGCCGCGGUAAUACGUAGGUGGCAAGCGUUGUCCGGAUUUAUUGGGCGUAAAGCGAGCGCAGGCGGUCAAUUAAGUCUGAUGUGAAAGCCCCCGGCUCAACCGGGGAGGGUCAUUGGAAACUGGUUGACUUGAGUGCAGAAGAGGAGAGUGGAAGUCCAUGUGUAGCGGUGAAAUGCGUAGAUAUAUGGAGGAACACCAGUGGCGAAGGCAACUCUCUGGUCUGUAACUGACGCAGAGGCUCGAAAGCGUGGGUAGCAAACAGG
rnacentral:rRNA from 1 species